GUAAGAUCCCUCAGAGACGAUGAGGUAGAUAGGUCCGAGGUGGAAGCGUGGUGACACGUGGAGCUGACGGAUACUAAUCGAUCGAGGACUUAACUUC
rnacentral:rRNA from 1 species